GCCACCUUUUGAAACGCGUCAAAGCGUAACUUUAACACCCAAAAUACCAUUAAUUUUUAUGAACCCCUAAUUUAUAAUGAAUGACUCCAUAUUUAUAUGGAAGACACCAUGCUAGGAUUAGUAACAAGAAUUUAUAAUUCUCCAAAAUGCAAAUAUAAACCAACAUGGAUAGACCAUUGGUAGUUACCGAACCUAAAUUUAAUGCAAUAACAUCCACAAGAAAACUCUGCAGCACUCACUCGUUAACCUAACACCAGCGCAUUACAGGAAAGAUUCAAAAAAAGAGAAGGAAUUCGGCAAAUGACGGCCCCGCCUGUUUACCAAAAACAUCGCCUCUUGACUUAUAAUAAGAGGUCUAGCCUGCCCAGUGAAUUUUAAACGGCCGCGGUAUCCUAACCGCGCGAAGGUAGCAUAAUCACUUGUUCUUUAAAUGGGGACUCGUAUCAACGGCAUCACGAGGGUUUUACUGUCUCCUCUUUUUGAUCAGUGAAAUUGAUCUUCCCGUGAAGAAGCGGGAAUAUUUUUAUAAGACGAGAAGACCCCAUGGAGCUUUAAACCAAAUAACAACUUAACCACUUAUCCCAUAAUAAAUUUAACCCCUGUUAUAAGGUUUUUGGUUGGGGUGACCGCGGAGUAAAGCACAUCCUCCACGACGGAAAGAAUAAAAUCUUUAUUUAAGAACCACACUUCUAGAAAUUAGUAUACUAACGUUUACUGACCCGACAAUCGAUCAACGGACCAAGUUACCCUGGGGAUAACAGCGCAAUCUACUUCGAGAGCUCAUAUCGACAAGUAGGCUUACGACCUCGAUGUUGGAUCAGGGUAUCCCGGUGGUGCAGCCGCUACCGAAGGUUCGUUUGUUCAACGAUUAAAACCCUACGUGAUCUG
rnacentral:rRNA from 1 species